rnacentral:sRNA from 1 species
GCGGAAACACAAGCCGCUGCGGUCCACGG